UGAAGCUACAAUUCUUUUCUAUCCGUAUGUUCCAGUCUGGCUUAAUAAUCUACGAAAGGUGGAAAGUUCUGUAAAACUCAAAUGAUCUUUUUAAAAAGAAUCGAAGACCGGGAGAGUUUGCAGCCUUUGAAUGUCUUCCCUAACUGGUGGAGAAACCACCAAGGGUGGUGGUGGUGGGGUGAUGUGGACUGCAUGUGACGUUCUUUUCAGAUUACCUGCUGGACCAACCUGAUCCCAGGGGACCUAGCUGAUACCCACAGUCAAGGACGUUUGGCGUGCUUGGUCUAAGAAAGGUGAACUGGAAGGGUUUGUAAACCUCAUAAAGACUCAUCAGUUCUAAGGGUUGCCCGGGGUUCUGUGGUUUGUUUGUUUGUUUGUUUGUGUUGUUGUUUUUGUGUCUAGGUUGGUUAGCACAGGCCAGAGCCUGUUUCAUGUUGUAGGGAAUCCUCCUUAGCUACUGAAGUACACUCACUUCUCCAGCUCACAAAGUGCAAAUAACCUCAGGGUUUUUUCUCUGUGACACUUUCACACACACCAGUAUUAUGUGUUGCGCUCAGUGCUCAUUCAAAAUCCAUUGAAACUUGGAAAAGUAAAAUACUUGUUAAAAAUAACAGUGUAGACGACAAAAGGAAAUUAGACCAAACUGGAACUUUUGCAGUCCAAUAUGGUGCUGUCCAGGAUGUUGUUGUUUUUGUGUGUCAACUUGGCAUACACUAGAGCUAUCUGAGAAGAAGGAACCACAACUGAGAAGAUGUCUCCCUGAGACCGGCCUGUAGGCAAGUCUGUGGGGUACUGUUCGGUUAAUGAUUGAUGUGGUUGCUGCUCCCUCUGGGUGGAUGGUCCCGGAAUCUAUAAGAAAGCAGGUCGAGCAAGCCAUGGGAAGUAAGCAGUGUUCCUCCACGACUUCGGCUUUAUUUCCCAUCUCCAGGUUCCUGCCCUGACUUCCUUUGAUGAUGGACUUCGGUGUGGAAGUAUAAUGGGAAAUAAACCCGAUCCUCGGGUCAGAACCAUGAUGGGAAAAACCACGGAGACAGCUGACCCAAGCUAGUGGGAGCUCAUGGACUCUGGACUGACAGCUGGGGAGCCUGCAUGGGACCGAACUAGGACCUCUGAAUGCUGCGGGAAGGAAUCCAGUUCUCACAACUUACCUAAUGGAUCUUCAGAUCUAGCGGCCACCACACCCCUGCAAGCUCACCUGAGGACCUCAGGGCCUUUCAUCCCUGUCUCUUCUCCCUGGAUGGCCUAAAGGCAAGAGUUUACUCAUUCCGCUGAUUAAGGCGACAGAGCAAAAAAAAAGGAGGAUAUUUCGGGGCAUAAAAUGGCCAAAAGGAUUAAACACAACUGAAAGGUCAAGAGAAAUGGAAGAUGGAAAAGAGCCAUUGGCUUUCGAUUCCGAGGUACCAUUUCAGGGGUGGGAGGAGUUAGCUGCAAUCAGGAGUGGGAGGGGGGGAAAUGGGCAGUGGGAAAGGCAGCUCUUUAGAUAUGUGUAAAGAGAGGAGAAAAGCCAGCGAUAAUGACCUGGAAGAACUUGUAUUCUAAAGGAAAGGCCUCUUUCUAGCUGGCAGAAACAUGCUAUUUGGGGGAGACGAUGGCGGCAUAAACAAGGGUGGACUAAGGUAGGAGUAGGUGGAAGGUCCUGGGUCCAGGAAGCAAGUGCCUUGUUGACUCUGAAACCAAAGAGUGGGAAGCAAGGACAGGCAGAAUACAACUGGACUUUAGGCUCAGCAAGUUUUUGUUUCAGAAUUCUUUCUGGCUAGAGCUGCUGACACAAACUGGAGCCUCAGCCACUGGACAGGCUGGUGUGGAGUGAGCCCCUGAGGCCAGGAAUUCCUUUCUGUACAAUAAAAGGCAAUAUCAGCUGCCUAGGAGAAGGAAGGGAUGGCAUGAGUGGGCUGAAGGGAGCGUUGAGGGCUUGGGGAGAGGGUGCCUGUCAGGAAUCCAGGAAGGGAUACCAGGGAAUUAUGCAACUCAGGCUUGGGAUAUCCCCAGCUUAAGGGGGUUUUCUGGAUCGAUGAAUCGGAAAAGAAACUGGUCAACAUCUUAUGAUCCCUGUGGAGUGGCAGCUGAAGUGAUGAGUCUUAGUAUUUCAGAAACGUGGUAAAGAAAAUGGAGCCAAGCUGGUGGUCCAGAGAAAGACGAAGGGACCACUGGGCUGAUGGCAGGAAAGGUGAGGAAGAGUGACUGUCUGAGAUGGGAUAUCCAAGACUAAGGUAAAGUGGUGCUGAGAUCCAUGGCUGCAGAUUCAGCCAAGUUUAAUAGGAAACAAUUUUGUCUGUGCUGAAUAUGCUCAGAUAGUUCUCAUGUCCUUCCCUAGACAAUAUAGGGUAUUUCUCGUAUUGCAAGAAAUUUAGAGGUGGUUUAGACUAUUCAGGUGGCUAUCUGUGUAUAUGCAAAUACCACACACCAGUUUAUUGGGUACUUGAGCAUCUGCAGAUCUUGGCAUCCUUCAGGGUUCCUGGAACCAACAUCCCUAGGAUUUGAAGAGAUGGCUGUAUGUGCCCUGUUUCCUGUCCCAGCUGGUGAAUUUGGAGAGGCUAGGGACUGAUAGAUACCAUGUGCCCCUCAGAGCUCAUUGCAUGACAGAGGCUCUGGUCUUGGGCCUUUCCUUUUAUUGUACAUGUUAUCAUAAUGUAUUAAAGGAUGCUUGGAUCAUGUGAACUCUUUUUUACUACCAACCACAUGAAAAAAUGCGUUCAUUCUGCAGGAUUCUUUAUUGUAUCAGUCUCAAGAGAACUCAAAGGGGGAAAAAAGAAAUUUCUCAUCUAAAUACUCCUAAAAUUACUUCACUCUUUCCUUCUUUUUUUCUAGGUUCUAACCAAGUCAGUAUUUAAUUUUAAUUGGUUAUAAUGAGCAUAAAAUAAAUUGUUAUUCUACUUGCCAGAUCACUGCCUUUUGGAAUGAAAUGAGGAAUGAAAUAAAUAUUUUCUAGGUUCCUU